rnacentral:rRNA from 1 species
GUGUCAGCCGCCGCGGUAAGACGUAGGGGGCGAGCGUUGUCCGGAAUUACUGGGCGUAAAGCGCGUGCAGGCGGUCCGUUAAGUCCUGUGUGAAAUCCUCCGGCUCAACCGGAGAACGCCGCGGGAUACUGGCGGGCUUGAGGACGGUAGAGGGUGAUGGAAUUCCCGGUGUAGCGGUGAAAUGCGUAGAUAUCGGGAGGAACGCCAGUGGCGAAGGCGGUCACCUGGGCCGUCCCUGACGCUGAGACGCGAAAGCUGGGGGAGCAAACGGGAUUAGAAACCCCAGUAGUCC